AAUCCAUGCAUCAGACAUUUCCAAAUUAAUUCCUUAAAUCUUUCCUAAGCUUCGUAUAAUGUUUCAUCUUAUGAUUGCUGAAAAGAUGUGAUAUCAUUUCUCAAUUU
rfam:Gossypium hirsutum cultivar TM-1 chromosome 24, whole genome shotgun sequence